UAAUAAGGAAUUGUGUUCAGAAACUUGAAUUAUAUGAAAUAAAUGUGUGAUGCGUGCAUAUUAUAAACUAUAUAGUGUAAGGAGCUUUCGUUGUUGUUGUUUUAAUGGUUAUUUCAGACCAACCGUCAAAAAUCGUCCCGCGUCAGUGUAGAAAAGGGUAUACUGAUAAAAUAUCAAUAAAGUGCCACAAUCUGUCGAUUUCAACACUAAAACGUAAUUAAAUCAAUUUAUCAUAGUUUAUUUGUUGUACUUUCUAAAACAUUUGGCUUGCAAAAUGAUAACGUGUGAUAUUUUCAUAUUUUCAAAAUACCGCUACGGUUACUAGAUGCAUCCAAAAGUCGUUAUUAUGGGCGGGACCAAAUUAACAUAAAUAAACUUCCUGUAGUCCCUCGAACGUGAUGAAAAAUGUUUACAGUAGAAUACAUAGUUUGCAUCUGUUGUUUCAUGGACAUUUACACCAAAAGGUAUUGCUUUUUCCUUUAGAUAUGAUGUGAAAAUGUACUGGGAAAUUCCUUUAUGCCUUCAAGGGUUUACAGAACCCUGCUUAUGUUCACCACAUCGACUGAGUAUAUCAUACAGUCAUACUGCACAUAGGCUACUGUCAUAGGUGAUAGCAUAUUUUGGCAGUAGUAUAAAGUGAAAAUAUAGGGACACUAUUAAUUUACAAGUUAAAGGCGUGUUCUUACUAUCAUAUAUUAAGACUGUCUAUCUCUCCAAUUUUUUGGUAUACCUCAGGCCUGUACCAAAGAUAACAGGAGAUAGUUACAUUUGUAUAUGUGUAUAUAUGUGCUUAAAAUUGUGGGGGAUAAGGGUACGAUUUCAGUGCGACUCAUUCAGUUAAUGAAAUAAAAAAUAUAUAUUGCCGUCUUCAGGAUAAAUCACAAGCGCUCGUCCCAGACCAGUAUAAUUUUUCUGAGGCUUAACUGCCCAAAUGAAUAAAAAGAAAAUUUAUGAAAGACUAUUUUUCAGGCUUUGUUGUCAAAAAGUGUUCCAUAAUACACAAAAUCUCUUAACACUCAUAAACAAAAACCAAAAAGAAAAGAACGGUCCAUUCACAUGUACAUGUAUGGAGAAUUUGAAAGUAAAAUUAGGCACUUCAUCAAGGAGCAGUUAUAAACUAUCAGCUCACUACUAAAAACUCUUCAUACAUGUAUUGUCAGGACUCUUGGGUGUCUGGGUUCAUCAUUUGAAAUAUAAAGAAAUACCAAAAUAGUCAAAAAUUUUAUGUUGUCAUGGUCAAACAUUUGAUAUUCUUGGGAUAGCUACAUGUCUACUAAAGUACAUAAUUAAUCCUUGUUACCCCAAUACAAUCAACCGGUUAUGUACUUGUAUAGGAUGCAUAAUGUGCCAAUGCGGACUUUAAAAUUCUGAACUUUUUCUGACCAGACUCCAUAUUCUACAUAAAUUCAUGUCUUUUUUUUUAAUUAUUUUUGUGAUGUAUUAUGAACUGUGUUACUUUGUUAAUGUUCAUAUAUAUAUAUAUAUAUAUAUGUAUACCAUAAAACCCAAGAUAACUGGAUUAAUUUCAAUAAAAUACAUAUCCCAGCAUUAUUAUAGUGAACAUGUAAAUUACAUCUGUUUACAUGGUUUAAACAGUAACAGAUUAUACAUAACCCAGCAGUGACGAGUGCCCAAUUAUUCGUUUUUAAAUUACUGCAAAAUUCUAUAAAUUUUAUUUGAUAAAAAAUAAUUAUUUAGCUUUUAUAUAUGGACAGCUAGGAGAGUAGCUGACUCUUGAUACAUAAGUAAUAAAAUUUCAGUUACUGUGUAUAAUUGUUUUACAUCAUAUUUGCAUUAAGUUUUUUACUUUCAGCUGUAAAAGAUAUUUUGUGUUCUAAUAGUACUUCUCUCGGAAGACAAUAGUUGGUUAUGGCUGUGGAUAAUAAUCAGGAUACCAAAGUUAAAGAAAGGAGAUAUGUUUCUUUGUGGUGAAAGUGCAAGAAAUAACACCAUAUUUUGACUUACAAAAUGAUCACUCAUACUGCAUGCAAUACAGGGAAAGGCAUCAAACCAAGCCUCCAGAAGACAUACAUUUGUAGAAUGUAUUUUCUAUGAUGUACACGUCGCAGAGGAUACUUUAUGUUCCAAAAAUUCAAAUACAAAUUGUGUCAGCUCCUGUGACAAACUUAAGACGGAAGUUAACCAGAGUAUGAAAUCACCAUUAUCAAUAUGUAAAAUCCAAACAGUGACUAUAUAUUUAUUCAAAUAGUGUCAUGAAUGGAAUUAAAAAAAGGACUUGAAAAAUUAACAUGUUUUAAUAUUGUUUUGUGUGUGUGAAUAAAAUUUGUCAGCAAGAACAAACUUCUUUUAUUACAAGACAUCCAGAAUACAUGUCUUCAUACAUGUCAUAGCAGGUACCAGUAUUUCUGUGGUUUGGUGUUCCCGGAUAGUUUAGUUUGUAACAAUGUUCCCUUUUUUGGUCUUUCAUGCUUGGUUCAUAAGGAAGGUAAAAAAAUAUUUCAUGUGGGCAUAAAAAUAAGGAGAUGUGGUACGAUUGCUAUUAAGACAACUAUCAGGAGAUCAAAGGACAAGGAUGUAAACGAAGACAGGUCAGUGUUCACUAAGAUAGGUUUUCUAGGUCCAAUGUAGGUACUUUUUGAAAGUGGAUAACCAAUGGAUUUAUUGGGUCAAUGGGAUGAAGGUGGGGUGAUGUGGGAAUGAAUAUUUUAGCUUGGUGAGAAUUAGUAGAAGAAAUAAUGUUGCCCGUUCAAGAUGAAAAUGAAUAAGCUGCUGCAUUUCUGUCUCACAUUAAGCAUGAAAAAUUAUGUAAAAAAGUGAAAACGAAGCUAUGUGACAUAAACAAUCUGAGCAACAGAUAAAAAUGAAAUAAUAUUGACUAUUUGUGAAUAAUCUGUCCAAGAGAAAUCCUCCUGCCUUACCCCCUAAAAAUGUCCACUUAUAUACAAAUGUAUGCUCUUAAUGCUAAUAAAAAAUGUCAAAUCUUUACCAAUAUAAAAAUAAGGAGAUGUAUGAAUGCCAAUGAGACAACUAUCCAUCAAAUUCAAAUGAAGUGGAUGUAAGCAAUUAUAGGCAACUGUACAGCCUUCAACAAUGAGAAAAACCCAUAUUGUAUAGUUGGCUCUAAAAGGCCACAACGUGAAAAAUGUGAAACAAAUUAUGAGUAGGGUGUAUGACACAAUAAGCAGAUAACCCAUCAAAGUUAAUCGUAAAAUGCUAUUAGUUGCUUGUGUUACUAAUGUUUUUCACAAGGGAAAUUUACUUGUACUUGCCAUGGGUACAACCAUUGAUUUUAGGGUAUGAAUGAUACGUUCAUUGUUGAAGACCCUACAUCAACUGUCAAGAUGAAGAACAGGAAUAAAAGCCAUGUUCAUUGAUAAUUUUCUAUGUUUUCUAUGUAUUGUGUGCGAUUUAGUCCCAUGUACAUUUACUCCAUAUCUUUUCAGUUUCUAUUUUACUGUUGUUUAUAAUCAUGAACUUAUUUUUAACUUCCUGCCAGUCCUUCAAUGAACUCAAACCUCUAUAGAUCCAGUUACAACUCAUGCAUUUGCAGUUUGAACAGACGAGAAUUCUUUAAUUAAAAUCAAUGAAUUCAUUUAAUUUCUCAUUUGUUGCGGACCUUACAUUUGAACAUGUAUACUGGUUCUGUUAAAUUUAUUCAUAACUUAACUAUGAUAAAAAAAAUCAACAUACAGAUAUUGUAUGGAGACUGACUAUUCUUGAAGACUGUAUGAUUUCCUCUAACUGUCAACAUGGUCAAUGCUCUUGUGGUAGUUGGGUCAGUUUCAUAUACUAGAAGAAAGGACAAAGACAAGCUGCGAAAAUAAAUAAUUGUUUUGACCUUCUCUUUGGGGUUAUCUUAAACAGCUAUUACUAGUAUCAUAAAGAUGUGUUGGGCUACUCAAAUUACGAUCACAAGAAAAACAACAACAUAAUUACGAUAAUUUUCGGCAACUGCCAAAUGUAAACGACUAUCAAAGUUUAUUUUCCAGCUUGAGAGAGGUCCUCAAUAUGACAUACUCAGAAGGAAUCGUGAUAUCUUUGCGAAUUAAAACAAAA